rnacentral:rRNA from 1 species
GACGAACGCUGGCGGCGUGCUUAACACAUGCAAGUCGAACGAUGAAGCCGGAGCUUGCUCUGGUGAAUUAGUGGCGAACGGGUGAGUAACACGUGAGUAACCUGCCCUUGACUCUGGGAUAACUGCUAGAAAUAGUAGCUAAUACCGGAUACGACCCUCGGAGGCAUCUCCAGGGGGUGGAAAGAAUUUCGGUCAAGGAUGGACUCGCGGCAUAUCAGCUAGUUGGUGAGGUAACGGAUCACCAAGGCGACGACGGGUAGCCGGCCUGAGAGGGUGACCGGCCACACUGGGACUGAGACACGGCCCAGACUCCUACGGGAGGCAGCAGUGGGGAAUAUUGCACGAUGGGCGCAAGCCUGAUGCAGCAACGCCGCGUGAGGGAUGACGGCCUUCGGGUUGUAAACCUCUUUUAGUAGGGAAGAAGCGAAAGUGACGGUACCUGCAGAAAAAGCACCGGCUAACUACGUGCCAGCCGCCGCAGUAA